rnacentral:tRNA from 1 species
GCCCUCUUAGCUCAGUUGGUCAGAGCACCCGCCUCUAAGCGGGAGGUUCGCGGGUUCGAUUCCCGCAGUGGGCUC